GCCUGGGUGGCUCAGUCGGUUGAGCGUCUGACUUCGGCUCAGGUCAUGAUCUCGCGGUUCGUGAGUUCCAGCCCCGUGUCGGGCU
rfam:Felis catus isolate Cinnamon breed Abyssinian chromosome B2, whole genome shotgun sequence.